UACGUAGGUGGCAAGCGUUGUCCGGAUUUAUUGGGCGUAAAGCGCGCGCAGGCGGUCCUUUAAGUCUGAUGUGAAAUCUUGCGGCUCAACCGCAAGCGGUCAUUGGAAACUGGGGGACUUGAGUACAGAAGAGGAAGCGGAAUUCCACGUGUAGCGGUGAAAUGCGUAGAGAUGUGGAGGAACACCAGUGGCGAAGGCGGCUUUCUGGUCUGUAACUGACGCUGAGGCGCGAAAGCGUGGGGAGCAAACAGG
rnacentral:rRNA from 1 species